UGAAGGCUUUCAGCUGCAAGGCCAACUGAAAACCUGCCCCUAAACAAACCCAAGGAGUUUAAUAGCUAGUGUAGAGACUACAAUUGGAUGCAAAUUUUGGGGCUGGCUUUUCACAGAUGAGACAGCAAGCCCCAGGUCAGAUGUAUGCCCAGUUCACAUGAGUCAGGAGAAAAGUGGAAGAGGAAAUUGUGUUAUCACAAUUGCAAAAACUUGGGAGAAAAAUUAUUACAGCACAGCUACGUUUAGGAAUGGGCUUCCCAGAACACCCAGUCUCAAUGGACCACCUUGAAUGCUGCUUGGAAGGAAGGAAGCGCUGAAGACAGCCAACUGCAAAAUGAUCUGGGUGGCUUCCUCAUCCCACUUUGUCAAGAGUUCUCUGAAAAAGGAAAUGAAGACUUACUGGUUCCUAACUUCACAGGUCCUUUGGAAACAGAAAUGGCUCACAAAGGGAAGCAGAUACCUAUGCGUUUUGGAGGUCAGCCUCCUUUGCCAGGGCACACAGAAUAAAACUAACUGGCUUGGUGUGUUGUCGCCAGGGCAGAAGGCAAUGCUGGCAGAAGCGCUGGCUGUGUGUGGCUGUCCACCUCUCUUACCCUGGGAGCAGAUUCAAAAAUCACACAGUGGGAAAAGCUUAAUGCAUUUUCAUGUGAAAAAUAACCACCUUAAGAAGAGGGCCAGGGUCCCACAGGAUAUGCCAGCAUCUCAAUGCCAGGCAUUUCAGCUUGCUGUUGCUGUAGGGCAAGCCUGUAGGGAUGGGAGAAUGGAUAGGUCUUGGGCAGACAGGCAGUGUGGGAUGUUUUGCUACAGCUCAGGAAAUUUCCUGAGGCAGUUAGACAGGAGGUGCAGGUCAAGCGUGUUUAGAGGUGAGUGGGUGGUGUGAAUCCCCCUCUUCUGAAGAGUUUUCCUCAGACCAAGCUUGGCACAGCCCAGGGUAAGUAGGCUUCAUGCAGCUGAGGUGAGAUUUUGUUUGCUUUCUUGUUUGCUGGUGCAAGGCUUCUCAGAGAGGCUACUACAAGAAGUCAGGCUGGUGUUUUAGCCUGAGUCCAGAAGCAUCAGCCCUGACGCAGAUUGGAGUGGAAAGUUCUCCUCUUAGAAAAAUUUAAAUAAGAGGGUGGUUUCGCUCUGUGUGCUGCUUGGGCCAGGCAGCUAUCAUUACUGACUUUCAGUCCUUGGUUCAACACAUGCUUAGAUCUCUAGCUCAGAAAUUGCGUGUCCUUUUCCCAUGCAGAGAGGAAAAAGACAGCUCAAGUCCUCCUGCACUGUGUGCAUGGUGAGCAGCACAGCCCCUUGCUGGCAGCUGCUCAGUGUGGGCUGCCUCUUGUGCAACACCUGGGCAGUCCCAAGUGCAGACAAACAGGCUUGUGAAGCACAGUGCUUGCAGAACUCUUCCCUCCUUCCUUGUGAAACUCCCUCCUCCAAGCUAUUGAAAUCCUGGGAUAAUAAUUAACUGAGUUAAAACUUACUCUGUAAUCAUAGCCAUGUGCACUUUUCUGGGUGCACUCAAGUUAGAAAUGUUUGCGUUUUAAGGCUCUUUCUGUGUGAUGAUCUUGCAGCACUUAGCAUACAUUCACUCAUUUGUUUUCACAUCGUGCUUUGUGUUUUAUUUUUGAUUGGAGGGAUGAGAAGCUUCUUUUCAGGGUGUCCUUUGAAAGACACACAGGAAAAUUAAUCUCAUUACCUUAAACAGGGAACAUGAAAAGGAUUUAAAUUGAAGGUUUGGGGGCCUAUUCCUUCUGAGUAAGAACACUAAUCCCCAGGUUAAGCUCAAUAAAUAAGCAGGGUAGCAGCAGGCAGGAGGUGGGACCAGAGUGGGGACAAGUCUGCCUGGAGAGGUGGUGAGACCUCUAUGGCCACAAGCAGUGUGACCACUGCUGGGAAAAGUGACAGCAUGCAUUGCAGCGGCUUGUGAUGGCUCUAAAGCAGUGACACAGCAGAAAGGAUUGAGCAGAGAAAAACCCAUCUUUCUUCUGAUCCAGACUGGAAAGUCCUCUUUGGAGAAUUGGACAAGCACAUGGCCUUGGGACAAACUGAGAGCUGAAGCGAGGGGGAAGAAGGGAAGUCAAACCUCCAGGGAAGGGGUGGUUCUGUUUCAAGCCCUCUGGACUUUGGUUUCUUACACUAAAACCAUGUUAAAUGUAACAGCUUUUGGUUCUGAUGUGCAGGCUUCAGAGAGCUCUGACUGGCUGUUGGAGAUGAGGAGAGGCUGUACGGCCGCAGUUCCUGUCCCAAAUAAAUAAAUUAAAGCUGUGGGGUAAAGCCAGCAACUGUUUUUUAAACAGAUCAAGAUUCUUAGUGUCCUCCCUGCCUUUUGGUGCACUGAGCCUUACUGAGGCAGUCAUGCAGCAGGGCCCACUAGCUGUAUGUGGGGCCAAUUUAUUGCUAAACCUUGUGCCUUGGCCCUGUCUGGUCCAGUAGUGCUUCUGUGCUAUGUGUGGUAUGUUAAAUACCAAAGAGUCAACAGGGAGCCAUUUCCUAAUGAUGAAGGGCUGCAGUAGAGCAAGAGUUAAACUCCACACUGUAGGCAUUAAAUCCUGCGGUGUAGAGUCAAAUCUGCAAUGUAGGAGUUAAAUCUUGAAGCGCAGGCCCCUCAUGCUGUGAGCUGCCCAACAUGUGGGCUGCCUGUCCUAGCUCUCCUUGUUGAGGGUAGAGAGGCUGAGGUGAGGCAUCUGCAUCUUCACAAUUUGUACAGUGAGUUAAAGAGAAGGGUUCAGAAUUUGCUGGGGGGUAAGAGAGGCCUGCAGGGAGCCAGAGUACUGAGGCAAGAGGAAGAGGAGGGUGUGGGAGGAAAUAGAGUUCAGACCUGUCUGUGCAAUAUAAGGAAAUAUGGGAAUAUCCCUGAGAGAUUAUCAAAGAGAUCUACAGAUAUGAGCAAAGGGCACAGGAUGGACACAAAAAUGCUAGCUCGUGGAGUACAGUGCAUGAAAGUGGAUGAGUGAAUGAGUUCACAGGGAAGCUGGUGCAGGAGAACAGGAGAGACCCAAAGAAAGGGCUCAGUCUGGAAUGCAGAGAAGAGCAGGAAAAGGCAGAUCGUGCUGCUGGUUGGGAGCAGAAAAGGGGAAGACAAAGGUGCUGAAGACCUGGGCUAAUGGAGAGAACUGACCCUGUUAAUAACAAUAGGUGUGAUUACAUUAAGAAAAAAUACUGAGGGAAUUCCCAAGGAAUGGGAGAAAUGUACUGCUGUGUGCUUGUCCUGGUUCUGAAGAACAGAGGGAUGAGGGAUCCUGUGUGGGAAGUUCCCAGCAGCUCCAGGGCAGCAAUGUCCAUGGAGUGAAGGCAGCAAAAGUUGCAGUCCCAGGAGGAAAUAGAGUUACGAUACCACAGGAUAAAUCGGAAGGAGAAUGUGCUAUGAGGAUCAGUCUGUAGUCAGGGGCAUUUCAAAGGAAGUUAUCUGAUUGCUUCUUCACACCACUUGUAAGUGGACCGGGGCAAUCCUGUCACAAGAUGCUGCUGAUGUUGGAGGUGUGCAGCAACUUCAGAAGUUUACAAGUUCUGUACAAUAAAACCUCAUGAAGAACCAUCUCACAGAAAGAGGCCACCUUGAUCUCUGGCAGUCUUUAAAUCACAGGGUUGCUGAAAUUAGGAGACUGUGCUCGGUACUGCUU